UACGUAGGGUGCGAGCGUUGUCCGGAAUUAUUGGGCGUAAAGGGCUCGUAGGCGGUUUGUCGCGUCGGGAGUGAAAACCCAGGGCUUAACCCUGGGCUGGCUUCCGAUACGGGCAGACUAGAGGUAUGCAGGGGAGAACGGAAUUCCUGGUGUAGCGGUGAAAUGCGCAGAUAUCAGGAAGAACACCUAUGGCGAAGGCAGCUCUCUGGGACGGUACUGACGCUGAGACGCGAAAGCGUGGGGAGCGAACAGG
rnacentral:rRNA from 1 species